rnacentral:tRNA from 2 species
GUGACUAUAGCUCAGUUGGUAGAGCCCUGGAUUGUGGUUCCGGAAGUCGUGGGUUCGAAUCCCACUAGUCACCCUA